rnacentral:rRNA from 1 species
UACGUAGGGAGCAAGCGUUGUCCGGAUUUACUGGGUGUAAAGGGUGCGUAGGCGGGAAGCCAAGUCAGCUGUGAAAACUACGGGCUUAACUUGUAGACUGCAGUUGAAACUGGUUUUCUUGAGUGAAGUAGAGGUUGGCGGAAUUCCGAGUGUAGCGGUGAAAUGCGUAGAUAUUCGGAGGAACACCGGUGGCGAAGGCGGCCAACUGGGCUUUAACUGACGCUGAGGCUCGAAAGUGUGGGGAGCAAACAGG